rnacentral:rRNA from 1 species
AGGACCGAACCGACUAAUGUUGAAAAAUUAGCGGAUGACUUGUGGCUGGGGGUGAAAGGCCAAUCAAACCGGGAGAUAGCUGGUUCUCCCCGAAAGCUAUUUAGGUAGCGCCUCGUGAAUUCAUCUCCGGGGGUAGAGCACUGUUUCGGCAAGGGGGUCAUCCCGACUUACCAACCCGAUGCAAACUGCGAAUACCGGAGAAUGUUAUCACGGGAGACACACGGCGGGUGCUAACGUCCGUCGUGAAGAGGGAAACAACCCAGACCGCCAGCUAAGGUCCCAAAGUCAUGGUUAAGUGGGAAACGAUGUGGGAAGGCCCAGACAGCCAGGAUGUUGGCUUAGAAGCAGCCAUCAUUUAAAGAAAGCGUAAUAGCUCACUGGUCGAGUCGGCCUGCGCGGAAGAUGUAACGGGGCUAAACCAUGCACCGAAGCUGCGGCAGCGACGCUGAUGCGUUGUUGGGUAGGGGAGCGUUCUGUAAGCCUGCGAAGGUGUGCUGUGAGGCAUGCUGGAGGUAUCAGAAGUGCGAAUGCUGACAUAAGUAACGAUAAAGCGGGUGAAAAGCCCGCUCGCCGGAAGACCAAGGGUUCCUGUCCAACGUUAAUCGGGGCAGGGUGAGUCGACCCCUAAGGCGAGGCCGAAAGGCGUAGUCGAUGGGAAACAGGUUAAUAUUCCUGUACUUGGUGUUACUGCGAAGGGGGGACGGAGAAGGCUAUGUUGGCCGGGCGACGGUUGUCCCGGUUUAAGCGUGUAGGCUGGUUUUCCAGGCAAAUCCGGAAAAUCAAGGCUGAGGCGUGAUGACGAGGCACUACGGUGCUGAAGCAACAAAUGCCCUGCUUCCAGGAAAAGCCUCUAAGCAUCAGGUAACAUCAAAUCGUACCCCAAACCGACACAGGUGGUCAGGUAGAGAAUACCAAGGCGCUUGAGAGAACUCGGGUGAAGGAACUAGGCAAAAUGGUGCCGUAACUUCGGGAGAAGGCACGC